CUGUAGUCUAGUCUAUUGACUGGACUGUAGUCUAGUCUAUUGACUGGACUGUAGUCUAGUCUAUUGACUGGACUGUAGUCUAGUCUAUUGACUUGACUGUA
rnacentral:pre_miRNA from 1 species